AUAUGGUCUUGUUAUGGAUUCAUGUGUUUUUGAUGUAUUAGAUGGUGACCAGGGAUACCGUAUGGGGUGAAUUGAUUUCCUAGGAGUGUAGUUACAAGUAGUUCUAAAACUGGCCGACUCAAAUCAAAACUCAGCAGGUUAUCAACCCUCCGCUUUUCCACCAUGAAAAGCACUCUGUUCAUUUCAGGUACUGCUCGAAAAAAAUGAAAUAUUAAUUCAGCAUAUAAGCUUUGCAUGUUUUUAGCCUGUCGAGACUUCAGAAUUGAUUGACAUCUUUGUUAACAUACAUUUCAUUGUUUUGGUGGUGUGGCCCACAUGAGUUUUGGAUUGAGCUGAUCUUUGUCAUCUACGGUGACAAUGAGGUGAACAACUAAUGGAUAGCACACGUAUUGUGGCUCCACAAAUCUCAGGAACCUUCUCUUAGAGUGGAUUUGAAGCUGCUGCUUUGAAGGAUCCUGGCCUCAAUGCUGGCGAGGAGGUGCAGAAGAUGGUCAAUCUUCUUGACAAGCUGGACACCUCCAUGAAGGUAAACUGCAUUUCUUUCUGAAACUCAGAAGCUGUGUCUGUAACAGAAAUUUAAUUUUCUUUACAGCUUCUAUAAUUUUUUUGCCCACUACCUUCAGAUGCAUUCAUUUUGAUCAGAUUGAUAGAAUGCCCAGCAUUCCUGAAACUUGUACUUGUAUAGUAUGCUUUCAGUUUUGUGUUUUUUUUUUU